UUUGUACUCGUCGGCUCGAGAGUAGACGCGUGGCGGCGUGACUUAACACAUGCAAGUACGAACGACGAACUAUUGGAUCGAGUAUUCGUCAAGUGAGGUGGGAAAGUGGCGGACGGGUGAGUAACGCGUGAGCAAUCUGCCUUGGAGUGGGGAAUAACGGCUGGAAACAGCCGCUAAUACCGCAUGAUACAGCUGGGAGGCAUCUCCCUGGCUGUCAAAGAUUUAUCGCUCUGAGAUGAGCUCGCGUCUGAUUAGCUAGUUGGCGGGGUAACGGCCCACCAAGGCGACGAUCAGUAGCCGGACUGAGAGGUUGGCCGGCCACAUUGGGACUGAGACACGGCCCAGACUCCUACGGGAGGCAGCAGUGGGGAAUAUUGGGCAAUGGGCGCAAGCCUGACCCAGCAACGCCGCGUGAAGGAAGAAGGCUUUCGGGUUGUAAACUUCUUUUGUCAGGGACGAAGCAAGUAACGGUACCUGACGAAUAAGCCACGGCUAACUACGUG
rnacentral:rRNA from 1 species